GAUGAACGCUGGCGGCGUGCCUAAUACAUGCAAGUCGAACGCUUCACUUCGGUGAAGAGUGGCGAACGGGUGAGUAAUACAUAAGUAACCUGGCAUCUACAGGGGGAUAACUGAUGGAAACGUCAGCUAAGACCGCAUAGGUGUAGAGAUCGCAUGAACUCUAUAUGAAAAGUGCUACGGGACUGGUAGAUGAUGGACUUAUGGCGCAUUAGCUUGUUGGUAGGGUAACGGCCUACCAAGGCGACGAUGCGUAGCCGACCUGUGAGGGUGACCGGCCACACUGGGACUGAGACACGGCCCAGACUCCUACGGGAGGCAGCAGUAGGGAAUUUUCGGCAAUGGGGGAAACCCUGACCGAGCAACGCCGCGUGAAGGAAGAAGUAAUUCGUUAUGUAAACUUCUGUCAUAGAGGAAGAACGGUGGAUAUAGGGAAUGAUAUCCAAGUGACGGUACUCUAUAAGAAAGCCACGGCUAACUACGUG
rnacentral:rRNA from 1 species